GUGCCAGCCGCCGCGGUAAUACCGGUGGCUCGAGUGGUGGCCGCUAUUAUUGGGUCUAAAGGGUCCGUAGCCGGCCUGAUAAGUUACCUGGGAAAUCCGGUGGCCUAACCAUCGGGCGGCCAGGUAAUACUAUCAGGCUCGGGACUAGGAGAGACCAGAGGUACUCAUGAGGUAGGAGUGAAAUCCUGUAAUCUUAUGAGGACCACCAGUGGUGAAGACGUCUGGUUAGAAUAGGUCCGACGGUGAGGGACGAAGGCUGGGGGCGCAAACCGGAUUAGAUACCCGGGUAGUCCCAGCAGUAAACGAUGCCAGCUAUGUGUUGCUGGAACCAUGGGUUCCAGCAGUGCCGAAGGGAAGCCGUGAAGCUGGCCACCUGGGAAGUACGGUCGCAAGGCUGAAACUUAAAGGAAUUGGCGGGGGAGUACCACAACCGGUGGAGCCUGCGGUUUAAUUGGAUACAACGCCGGGAAUCUUACCGGAGGGGACAGCAGUAUGAAGGCCAGGCUAAAGACCUUGCCAGAUCAGCUGAGAGGAGGUGCAUGGCCGUCGCCAGUUCGUACCGUGAG
rnacentral:rRNA from 1 species